rnacentral:rRNA from 1 species
ACUUACAUCUCUUCCGGAGCAUUUUACGUAGGUGCUGCAUGGUUGUCGUCAGCUCGUGCCGUGAGGUGUCGGGUUAAGUCCCAUAACGAGCGCAACCCCUACCUUAGUUGCCAUCAGGUAAUGCUGGGGACUCUAAAGGAACUGCCUACGCAAGUAGUGAGGAAGGCGGGGAGUGACGUCAAAUCAGCACGGCCCUUACGUCCAGGGCUACACACGUGCUACAAUGGCCGAUACAGAGGGCAGCUACCUGGUGACAGGAUGCAAAUCUCCAAAGUCGGUCUCAGUUCGGAUCGGAGUCUGCAACCCAACUCCGUGAAGUUGGAUUCGCUAGUAAUCGCGCAUCAGCCAUGGCGCGGUGAAUACGUUCCCGGGCCUU